UCCUGUAACCAACCGCUUUACUAGCUCUACUGUCAAGUCAUCUGCCAUGAAGUCUUUGCCAGAGACAAUUCUAUUUUGUUUAGACUUUCAGACAUCAGAACUUGCUAGAGGAAGACAAAAAGUGAACAGUUCACUAAGUAUGAAAGCAGAAAAUAUGGCAAGCCUUUCAGAAGACCAGAUUAAAAUCCCUGAGUUAUCACAGCACUGAGGAUGAGGUUAACCAGACACUGCAAUUAAUUAUAACAGCAACAAUAAGAAAACAUGGAAGAAUCACUCAUGUUUAUUUAGUGCCACCACUUUCUUUUGU